rnacentral:lncRNA from 1 species
UUAACUCUACCUUUACAUCACGAUGGAUGAUGCCCAAGUCAUGGAGAUAGCCUGUGGAGAACAAGUACAAGGACCAGUUCAGCUGCAAAGAGACGGACAGAAUCCUCUGGAAAACAACCAACAGUGGACCACAGGGAGUAGAGAUCCAUGCUGCAGUAGCUACACACUGCAAAGCACCAGAAGUCUAGGCAAUACUGAGGUCUGUACUAUAAUGCCUGGGCUUAAAGCAUUAUGGACCUCUUGCCCAAACUAAUGCCACCAUCUGUUUCCCUCUUGUGGAAUACAGAAAUGCUAUGAGGAGCGGAGCCAAGGAAAGGCAGAAUGUCAGGUGGGAAGGGCAGUAUAUGGACCUUUUGGGGAGAAGACAAAAACCCAGUCACUCACUAAUAAAGAGGUGUCGUUUCCCC